AUUGAACGCUGGCGGCAGGCCUAACACAUGCAAGUCGAGCGAGCGGCGGACGGGUGAGUAAUGUCUGGGAAACUGCCUGAUGGAGGGGGAUAACUACUGGAAACGGUAGCUAAUACCGCAUACCAUCAGAUGUGCCCAGAUGGGAUUAGUUGGUCGGUGGGGUAACGGGCCACCUAGGCGACGAUCCCUAGCUGGUCUGAGAGGAUGACCAGCCACACUGGAACUGGGACACGGUCCAGACUCCUACGGGAGGCAGCAGUGGGGAAUAUUGCACAAUGGGCGCAAGCCGGAUGCAGCCAUGCCGCGUGUAUGAAGAAGGCCUUCGGGUUGUAAAGUACUUUCAGCGGGGAGGCGUUACCCGCAGAAGAAGCACCGGCUAACUCCGUGCCAGCCGCCGCGGUAAUUC
rnacentral:rRNA from 1 species